rnacentral:rRNA from 1 species
AGAAUAAGGAGCUUGCUCCUUUGACGUUAGCGGCGGACGGGUGAGUAACACGUGGGUAACCUACCUAUAAGACUGGGAUAACUUCGGGAAACCGGAGCUAAUACCGGAUAACAUUUGGAACCGCAUGGUUCUAAAGUGAAAGAUGGUUUUGCUAUCACUUAUAGAUGGACCCGCGCCGUAUUAGCUAGUUGGUAAGGUAACGGCUUACCAAGGCGACGAUACGUAGCCGACCUGAGAGGGUGAUCGGCCACACUGGAACUGAGACACGGUCCAGACUCCUACGGGAGGCAGCAGUAGGGAAUCUUCCGCAAUGGGCGAAAGCCUGACGGAGCAACGCCGCGUGAGUGAUGAAGGGUUUCGGCUCGUAAAACUCUGUUAUUAGGGAAGAACAAAUGUGUAAGUAACUNUGCACAUCUUGACGGUACCUAAUCAGAAAGCCACGGCUAACUACGUGCCAGCAGCCGCGGUAAUACGUAGGUGGCAAGCGUUAUCCGGAAUUAUUGGGCGUAAAGCGCGCGUAGGCGGUUUCUUAAGUCUGAUGUGAAAGCCCACGGCUCAACCGUGGAGGGUCAUUGGAAACUGGGAAACUUGAGUGCAGAAGAGGAAAGUGGAAUUCCAUGUGUAGCGGUGAAAUGCGCAGAGAUAUGGAGGAACACCAGUGGCGAAGGCGACUUUCUGGUCUGUAACUGACGCUGAUGUGCGAAAGCGUGGGGAUCAAACAGGAUUAGAUACCCUGGUAGUCCACGCCGUAAACGAUGAGUGCUAAGUGUUAGGGGGUUUUCCGCCCCUUAGUGCUGCAGCUAACGCAUUAAGCACUCCGCCUGGGGAGUAC